GUGCUGAGUCCCGUGGAGGUUGAGUAGACGCCAUCUUUAAUGGUGCAGGACAGAAAGAACCUCCCUGAAAUGAACGGUGGGUCGUCGUCACCCACAGGAGGCACAAGGAGGGUGGCAAAGAAAAUUCCUACUGCCUGGGUUUAAGGAACAUUGGGCAUCCAUCACGUGUGGGUUUGUAUUUGUACAGCUGGCCUCUACCCAUUGGAAUUUCAGUCCCUGUAUCCGCACCUGUUGGCUGUAACUAGAAAAGAGGAGAAGCAGAGACGUAGAUGGCUGAGUGCAUAUUACAGUGCCUGGGACACAAUAGACUUUUGACAAUGUGACCAAGAGGAAAGGCGGAGAGAGAGGAAUGCUGGAGGCAGCAAAAAGUUGGCGAUCCCGUUAAUGGUGGCUCCUGGACUCAACAAGGAAGGCACCACAGCUUGUAAAUUAAUAUCUUCUAAAAAGUAGUCUAAAGAAGAAAUCAAGGGAGAAAACACAACGUGAAAGUUACCAAAGAAAAAAAAAUCAUGUCCAAAUCUCCAAAUGUAUUGAUAGUCUUCAGACCGAUAAUAAUAAAAAAAGCAUUACAUGCUUAGUUCCAGAAAUUCUCCAUUUCCAUUAUUGCUGGAAAAGCCAUCUAAAAAGCACUUGAAGUUGAUGAUGUAUGUUGUUUACUCUCUUGAAAAAACAUCCUCUCCAAAUAGGGGGAAAGAUUGUGCAAAUGGAAGUCGAGUGACAGUGAAGAGAAUGAGCAGGAGGAGGAUUUACUGCAGGUGCAGUGGGCUCAGCAAUGGGUCAAGACCGGCAAGGCAGGACCUGGCAUUUGCUGUAUCAUCUCGCGUUGAGUGUGGAGAAAGAAACAAACACACCAAACGUGUGGCAUGACAGAAGUGUGCAAGUUCAUGCUCUCUUUGGUCUCUAGGUGAGUCAAAGGACAUUGCUUCUUUCUCCUGCCCUAGAACCUGUUGCACUUGGUUGUGAAAGACUAGCUAAUAAAGAGAUACCAUCAGCUUUUAGGAGAG
rnacentral:lncRNA from 1 species